rnacentral:tRNA from 1 species
GCGCCGGUGGUGUAAUGUGAACAUCGCUGCCCGGAAAGCAGAAGAUGCGGGUUCGAGUCCCGCCUGGCGCA